AUGUGUGAGUGUGGGGCCUGAAAUUUUGCACACAUUUACAAUAAUUGUAAAUGUGUUGAAAAUCGUUUGCACAAC
rnacentral:pre_miRNA from 1 species